rnacentral:misc_RNA from 1 species
CAGCAGCAGGUUACACCUAUGUAAAAGUUGAUGAAGAUUAGACAAGAUCAUUAGUAAAUAGCUCACUCAUGCUUAUCCAAAGGUUAAAUAAAUCAAGAGAAGCAAAACUUCAAUUAUCUAUUAGAUAAGCUUCAUUUCCUAGUCAAGUGUACAACACGCAUCCUACAAAACUAAUUCAAAACUGAAUGGAUCACAUGAGACAUUCCACGCUCUUACACUAUUCAAAACUUGAAAAAAGGUAAUAUUAUACAGCAUUUUUAUGCUAUGGUGACUUUUCAAUCUACUAAUGGUAAUUCUAUCAAACUUGCAAAAAGAGAGUAAUCUUUUCAUUUUGUUAUAAGUUGUUAAAUCUGAACAGGCUGCCAUCAGCUUUCAGUUUCAUUCAAAACCAUUCAUUUCAUAUCUUAAUGCCAAUUCUGAUCCCUAAAAAUAAAGAGACUAGCAACGCUGCUCCACAAUGUUUUGCACGUAUUUUACGUCAAGUAAUACUCUCACCUACUGAAAAGACUCGACAGUGAAGGUUGACCAUGUUUCCUCUCAACCAAUAUCUUUGAGAGUUUCUCAGUUUUCUCCUUUACCGACUCUUGCAAUAAUACAUGGCAAUCUUUCUUUUCUUCCCACUUCAUUUUCUCAGCGUUGCUUAAAUUACUACUCCCAGACACAUUUAACUGCUUAGAUUCAUCAUCAUGUAACUGAUGAUGCUUCACUUUGUUUAUCACCUUCAUAUGUUUUCUAGCCAUAUCGUGGCUCUUCUUCUGAACAGUUCCAGACCUUUUAUCAUUCUUUGCCUGGCAUUGCAACUGAUGCUUUUUUUUCUCUAACAAAUUCUCUUGCAUCUUAUUUAGUUCUCCUUCAGGCAAUUGACUUGUCUCACCUGCUUUCUGGCGCUUCUUGGGCACCUCCUGGGACUUAUCUUCCAAAUCCACCUCGUUCUUACGUUUUUUAUCCUUCCGCAUUUCAGUUUGAUACUUUUCCAGAUCAGAAGGUAUUGGAUCAUGUUUCUCAUCAAUGACCUCAGGCACCUCCCUCCCAACCUCCAUUCCUACUUUAAUAAGUCCACUACUCAAAGUUUCCAAAAUAACUUUGCCAAGUACAAAUCUAGUCUCAUGUUGAUUCCCUUUUCCAAGUUGGAAGUAGUCAAUCAUGAAAUUCUCUCUUCCACUUUCGUAAGAUUCAACAUCAUUCAACAGCACAUCAAAAAGUUGAGCAACAUGAUUUCCUGUUUUCUUCGGUACAAAUACCAAACCAGAACUUGGGGAAACUGGGUAUUUGGACAUGGAACGGACAAGAAUAUCUGUAUCAAUCAAGGUACCAACAGAAUCUCGAACCAAGGCUGCUAAAUGACUAGCUUCUUUUGCAAGUUCUUUAUCUGUUUUAAAUUCAGAAAACCCUGAGAUCUCAGGUACAAAUUUAACUUGCAAUUUGGCAUUUUCUCUUGCAAAUUUAACACCUUCCUUCCACUUUCCAUGAUACAGGACAGAAGCAAAGACCCAGACAACAAAAGCAUCUUGCGGAUUAGUUACUAAUGCUAGGUGAAAUGCUAGUAGUCCAACCCAUAGACUGCAGUCACAAGGUUGAUUGCAACUAACCAAUGUAUCCAAAUUGAAGAACAAUUUCUAUCAAGGAGAGAGAAAAAGAGAGAUUUUUAGAAAACAAGGAUCUACAUACAGAGAGAAAUUAUUCAAAAAGUACGAAUCUCACAGGAAAUCAAUUACAGAACCUUUCCAAAUUAAAUCAUGAGAAGGAAAUGCAAGCAGAAAAAGAAAGAAGACACAAUAUACUACUGUUGUGAAAAUUGUUUCGGUAGAAAGGGACAGGCUUCAGUCAAGUAUUUGCCACUUCCUGUUCCAGACAUGGCAGGGUUUUACAAACCCAAGAGGGCUAUAGAUGGAUCCCCCUCCCACCAGUGGUUGUGCUGAUAAGAACAUUGCCAUGUCAUCAACAUCGAGGAACUCCGAUACGUUUCACCAACCUGUUGAUUAAGGUAUGCUGCCUGCAAUCAGGGAUUCCCAGUCAGAUGUAAGCCAAACUAAUGGUUAUAAAAAAGGAGAAAUUUUGGAAUGCAUCAGGUUGGAAACUGAAAAUCUACAAACAUGAAAUGGAAGAAAAAGUUCAAGAAGGUUGAAUCUCUGAAGCAAACAGAUAGUAGACUCAGCAGCUCCAUAAGAUAGCAUGUAGUUCAAUUCCAUCAUUAUCUUGGACUGAAAAGACACAGAAUGCCAUUUUGGUGAGAAUAUGAUGAAGUUAGAGAACUUAAAUUAGACAACCAAAGGAAUCAGCACAAAUGAUUGCAACAUAACCACUGUGGCAACAGACAUUAAAUAAUGGAAAAGGAAUAAAGAAAACAUCACCCCUGUAGAGGCCAAAAACAAUAUAGAAUCUUAAAACAACAAAUCAGGCAGUAGGUUAUCUUACUUAAGCCUUAAAAUACCUUGUCCAAACUCUUGACAGAAGAUGAAAGUUUACGCAUAGCAAUUUCAGUGUCCUCUGAAAUUGACAAUCCCAGACGGCCUGCAAUUCUCAAUCCCCGCAAGAUUCUUGCUGAAUGACAUGGUUUGCAAUACAAUUCCAGUUUAGUUGAACAAACAAUAUAAGCGAGUCGCUGCAUCCCAAGUCCUGAGGCGCUAAAAGAACUUAUAUAUAAAGGUGGAAGUACCUACCACAAUCCUCUUGGAAUGACAAGUGAGCAGGGAUUAUGGUUCGUAGCUUUAAGGACUUCAAAUCUGCUAAGCCAUUGACAUAAUCACAUAUUUGAUUCUUGAAAGGGUCAAAGAAUAAACUGUUAAUUGUGAAAUCCCGAUGCAUGCUAUUUCUCCAGCAGACAAAGUCUUUUUUAUCACUGCCACUUGGCAUUUGAGAUAAAAGUACCUUUUCUUUUUCUUCAGCAUGUUUUGCUACUGUCUCAAAACUGGAUACCUCAACUACUGAACUUCUAAUAUGCACCCUGCAUAUAGGAAACCGGCGUCCAACAAUCACAGAGCGAAAAAAUUGCUUCUUAACCUCUUUAAGCUUAGCUGUCGUGACCACAUCAAAAUCUUUAGGUAUUCUAUUAAGAAGUAAAUCUCUCACACAUCCACCAACUAAGUAAGCUUGAAAUCCUUUACCCUGCAGAAUUUUCAAAACAAUCCAUAGGUGAGCUGGAAUCAUAUAAUGGGUCACACCAACACGCUUUGCAUUUAUCUUUUUCCAACCCGACAUGUCAAUAGUGGAACUUUGUUGAGCCCUAGAAUCAGAGUACCCCAUUCCACGGGAUAAUCGAGCUUGUUCAGUUAAAGUAUGGUUGAACCUCUGUGAGUUGGUUAGGGAUUUGAGAGUACAUAACAAGCAAUUUUUGGCUCUGAGGAAUAUCGCCAUCUAGAAUAUGAAAACUAUAGCGCCAUUACACUUUCCAGUUGAUCUUGUUGGGGAGGCUACUUUUUAGCUCGCAUUAAUGAUAGAACUCCCAGUUGCUCUUCCCACCGUCAAAAUGCCCUCUCUUGCGCAAAGUUGAAAAGCCCAGGGCAAAUUGUCAAGAUGACCCCUCAACUGAAA